rnacentral:rRNA from 1 species
AUUGAACUCUGGCGGCAGGCCUAACACAUGCAAGUCGAGCGGAGCGGCGGACGGGUGAGUAAUGCCUAGGAAUCUGCCUGGUAGUGGGGGAUAACGUCCGGAAACGGGCGCUAAUACCGCAUACUAUCAGAUGAGCCUAGGUCGGCUUAGCUAGUUGGUGGGGUAAAGGCCUACCAAGGCGACGAUCCGUAAUUGGUCUGAGAGGAUGAUCAGUCAAACGGGAACUGAGACACGGCCCAGAGUCCUACGGGAGGCAGCAGGGGGAAUUAUUGGAAAAUGGGCGAAGGCGUGAUCCAGCGAUGCCGGGUGUGUGAAGAGGGUCUUCGGAGUGUAAAGCACUUUAAGUUGGGAGGCGUUACCAACAGAAUAAGCACCGGCUAACUUCGUGCCAGCCGCCGCGGUAAUA